AUAAAGAAUCCUACCACCUUUAAAAACCUCUCUAAAUAUAUCUUGGGUUAAAUUAUCGUUCAGGUCACCAAAGAACAUUGGUAUUGCUUCGUAUACACACAGAAGCAUAUAAAUAGACACGUGUGGUGAAUUGAGUUGAGCAGAGCAUGGGUUGAAGCCCACGUAUUAUGCGGAUGUGCGUUGGCAAACAAAUCUUUGUAAUGCAAAUUAGAGGUUGUGCUCUUAUGAAUUCACUUAUAUCUCAUUAGGAGUAUUUUUCAAUAUUUACUAAGAGAUCAAGACAUCAAAUACUCUCUUUCUCAAAUUCUAAGAGAUCUAGAGACCUUCCUCAAGAUCAACUCAUGCAGUCGGAAGAUCACACAAUCCUUCACUUGAGAGAUAUGCCACUUAGGCCGUCGAUUGAAGAAAACAGAAAGAGAGAUCAAGAUAAGUUGUUCCACGAGAUCGAUUCGAAGUACUAUCCAACUUUCUUGAAGAUCAAGAACAUCACAAGGAGGCUCACAACAUCUUACAUUGGAGAAAUAGUUGUCCCAGCCCUCAAAUCCCGAAAAACAAUUCAGAAAUAGGAAUCAUGUGAUAAACAAAAUUGUACUCGUAGAAAUUCAUCAAUAAUAUUAUUUUUCGUCAUAUUGAAUUUAUUUGUGAUUGUAGUUAAGUUUUAAGAAUCGAAAUUUGCCGCAAACAUAGAGCAAAAGGGUUUCUUGCAUGAUUUUAGUCUAUGAAUUUCUCCUGUUAUUGCU